UAGUAGUAGUAGUAGAGCUGCUAACCCAUUUGUCAGUCGUCCCAAUCGAGUCUGGUGAAAAUGGAGGCACAUUAUUCAAAAGCCCAACAUCAUCCUCCUUAAUAUCCACAACAUCUGCUUUCUCUGAUACAUAAUUUUCUUUCUCAAUUCUUUUCAGUGCCUCUAAGACUUCUCUCAUAGUAGGCCUCAUAUCCCUCUCCUGUUGCAGACAUCGGAAAGCCAAUUCUGCAACUGAUGUUGCCAUCUUCCUCACUGCAGAAUCCUUUUCAAAACCAAGACAUGGAUCUAUCAACUCAUUUACUGCAUGAUUUUGGAUUUUGUUAACUGCCAUGUUGGCCAAAUUGAUGUCAAGCCUAUGCCUGUUAGUGUCCACUGCCUGUAAAGAUGAUAUCAGCUCAAUCAAGACUGUAAAGAUGAUAUAAGCUCGAUCAAUACCACACCAAAGCUGUAAACAUCACUCUUGUCCGUGAGUUGGUAGCACUGAUANCUGGAUCAACAUAGCCAGGUGUGCCUUGUGGAGCAGUUGAGACAUGGGUUACAUCAUUAGGGAACAACCGUGACAAUCCAAAAUCAGCGACUUUCACCCCGAAGUUGUUGUCUAGCAGAAUAUUGUUGGUUUUGACAUCACGGUGUAUGACAUCUGAAG
rnacentral:misc_RNA from 1 species